ACCUGCCCGGACCCGGGGGAUCGAAAGCCCCCGAUCCCGUCCGAUCUCAGAAAGUAAACUGUCCGGGACCUGGCUAGUACCAGAGUCCCUGGCCGAAUGGCUGGUAAGCAGCUU
rnacentral:rRNA from 1 species